CCUACGGGAGGCAGCAGUGGGGAAUUUUGGACAAUGGGCGCAAGCCUGAUCCAGCCAUUCCGCGUGAGUGAAGAAGGCCUUCGGGUUGUAAAGCUCUUUCGCAAGGGAAGAAAACUUAUCCUCUAACAUAGGAUGAGGUUGACGGUACCUUGAUAAGAAGCACCGGCUAACUACGUGCCAGCAGCCGCGGUAAUACGUAGGGUGCGAGCGUUAAUCGGAAUUACUGGGCGUAAAGCGUGCGCAGGCGGUUUUGUAAGUCAGAUGUGAAAUCCCCGAGCUCAACUUGGGAACUGCGUUUGAAACUACAAGACUAGAAUAUGUCAGAGGGGGGUAGAAUUCCACGUGUAGCAGUGAAAUGCGUAGAGAUGUGGAGGAAUACCAAUGGCGAAGGCAGCCCCCUGGGAUAAUAUUGACGCUCAUGCACGAAAGCGUGGGGAGCAAACAGGAUUAGAUACCCUUGUAGUC
rnacentral:rRNA from 1 species